UUCUAAAGCUCCCUCUUUAGCAUCUGUUCUAAUGAGAAUAAAAAGACAGUUAGUGAAUCUGUUUAAUUAUAUACCUGGACAUUACCAUUCGCCGCGCUAGUAAAGUCCACCUUUUCAGGA
rnacentral:lncRNA from 1 species